UACGUAGGGGGCGAGCGUUGUCCGGAAUUAUUGGGCGUAAAGAGCGUGUAGGCGGCCACACAGGUCUGCUGUGAAAACUCGAGGCUCAACCUCGAGACGCCGGUGGAAACCAUCAGACUAGAGUCCGGAAGAGGAGAGUGGAAUUCCUGGUGUAGCGGUGAAAUGCGCAGAUAUCAGGAAGAACACCCGUGGCGAAGGCGGCUCUCUGGGACGGUACUGACGCUGAGACGCGAAAGCGUGGGGAGCGAACAGG
rnacentral:rRNA from 1 species